AUUGAACGCUGGCGGCAUGCUUUACACAUGCAAGUCGAACGGUAACAGGUUAAGCUGACGAGUGGCGAACGGGUGAGUAAUGCAUCGGAACGUGCCCGGUCGUGGGGGAUAACGCAGCGAAAGCUGCGCUAACACCGCAUACGAUCUAAGGAUGAAAGCGGGGGACCGUAAGGCCUCGCGCGAUCGGAGCGGCCGAUGUCAGAUUAGGUAGUUGGUGGGGUAAAGGCUCACCAAGCCAACGAUCUGUAGCUGGUCUGAGAGGACGACCAGCCACACUGGGACUGAGACACGGCCCAGACUCCUACGGGAGGCAGCAGUGGGGAAUUUUGGACAGUGGGCGAAAGCCUGAUCCAGCAAUGCCGCGUGCAGGAAGAAGGCCUUCGGGUUGUAAACUGCUUUUGUACGGAGCGAAAAGGUCUCCUCUAAUACAGGGGGCUCAUGACGGUACCGUAAGAAUAAGCACCAGCUAACUACGUGCCAGCAGCCGCCGCCG
rnacentral:rRNA from 1 species